UACGUAGGGGGCAAGCGUUAUCCGGAUUUACUGGGUGUAAAGGGAGCGUAGACGGUGAUGCAAGUCUGAUGUGAAAUGCAGGGGCUUAACCCCUGAAUUGCAUUGGAAACUGUAUGACUCGAGUGCCGGAGGGGUAAGCGGAAUUCCUGGUGUAGCGGUGAAAUGCGUAGAUAUCAGGAGGAACACCGGUGGCGAAGGCGGCUUACUGGACGUGCACUGACGUUAAGGCUCGAAAGCGUGGGGAGCAAAC
rnacentral:rRNA from 1 species